rnacentral:rRNA from 1 species
AAUCAACGCUGGCGGCGCGCUUAACACAUGCAAGUCGCACGAGAAAGUGGAGCAAUCCAUGAGUAAAGUGGCGUACGGGUGAGUAACACGUGGAUCAUCUACCUCUUGGUGGGGAUAACCUUGGGAAACCGGGGCUAAUACCGCAUAAGCCUGGAAAGGGAAAGCAGCAAUGCGCCGAGAGAGGAGUCCGCGGCCGAUUAGCUAGUUGGUAGGGUAAUGGCCUACCAAGGCAAUGAUCGGUAGCCGGCCUGAGAGGGCACACGGCCACACUGGCACUGAAACACGGGCCAGACUCCUACGGGAGGCAGCAGUGGGGAAUCUUGCACAAUGGGGGAAACCCUGAUGCAGCGACGCCGCGUGAGCGAUGAAGCCCUUCGGGGU